ensembl:lncRNA
GAAAGGGUUUACCUCUGUCUCAAAGCUCUGUCCAACAGUUUCUUUUAUUGCAAUUAACACUAUAGAAAUAGCCAUAAAACAAGCAGAACAGAGAGCACUUGAAAGGUCAAGAAGAAGCAAACCUUAAAGCUAUGAGCAUCUUUUGCCGGACUCCAGUGGGGAACGUGUCCAGAGGCGGUAUCACCCUUCCUUUGGCUCCCUGAGCAGCAGUCAAAGAACUUGAAAUUGUUUCGUUUCUUCAAGAAAAAGAAGAGGCACAACUCCAUGCUGUACCUAGUCACAGUCAAGGGCAGACAGGUGCCCUACGGAUCAGAUAGAAUGGCCUGGUGGGCCCUGCCAACCAUAUUUUGCCCACCCCUGGUGUAACCCAACUUUGGGCAGAAGAUGAAGUUGUAAUUCUGGCCCUGUUUUUCACUUUGAAUGUGGAUAUGCAUUCUUCUGGAGAAACACUGAAGCUGAAGAAUGGGAGGUGUCACAGGUCUAGACCAAAUGGUUAUUUGGUACUAGUGCUUUAAUUUUAAAUCACAAUUUUUUGGAGC